rnacentral:rRNA from 1 species
AUUGAACGCUGGCGGCAGGCUUAACACAUGCAAGUCGAACGGUAACGGGAAGGAAGCUUGCUUUCUUUGCUGACGAGUGGCGGACGGGUGAGUAAUGCUUGGGAAUCUGUUUUAUGGAGGGGGAUAACUACGGGAAACUGUAGCUAAUACCGCGUAAUAUCGAGAGAUUAAAGUGUGGGACCGCAAGGCCACAUGCCAUGAAGUGAGCCCAAGUGGGAUUAGGUAGUUGGUGGGGUAAAGGCCUACCAAGCCGUCGAUCUCUAGCUGGUCUGAGAGGAUGACCAGCCACACUGGGACUGAGACACGGCCCAGACUCCUACGGGAGGCAGCAGUGGGGAAUAUUGCACAAUGGGCGCAAGCCUGAUGCAGCCAUGCCGCGUGAAUGAAGAAGGCCUUCGGGUUGUAAAGUUCUUUCGGUGGUGAGGAAGGUUGGCGUGUUAAUAGCACGUUGAUUUGACGUUAGCCACAGAAGAAGCACCGGCUAACUCCGUGCCAGCAGCCGCGGUAAUACGGAGGGUGCGAGCGUUAAUCGGAAUAACUGGGCGUAAAGGGCACGCAGGCGGAUACUUAAGUGAGGUGUGAAAGCCCUGGGCUUAACCUAGGAAUUGCAUUUCAUACUGGGUAUCUAGAGUAUUUUAGGGAGGGGUAGAAUUCCACGUGUAGCGGUGAAAUGCGUAGAGAUGUGGAGGAAUACCGAAGGCGAAGGCAGCCCCUUGGGGGAAUACUGACGCUCAUGUGCGAAAGCGUGGGGAGCAAACAGG